GAUGAACGCUGGCGGCGUGCCUAAUACAUGCAAGUCGAGCGAACAGACGAGGAGCUUGCUCCCCUGACGUUAGCGGCGGACGGGUGAGUAACACGUGGAUAACCUACCUAUAAGACUGGGAUAACUUCGGGAAACCGGAGCUAAUACCGGAUAAUAUAUUGAACCGCAUGGUUCAAUAGUGAAAGACGGUUUUGCUGUCACUUAUAGAUGGAUCCGCGCCGCAUUAGCUAGUUGGUAAGGUAACGGCUUACCAAGGCAACGAUGCGUAGCCGACCUGAGAGGGGGAUCGGCCACACUGGAACUGAGACACGGUCCAGACUCCUACGGGAGGCAGCAGUAGGGAAUCUUCCGCAAUGGGCGAAAGCCUGACGGAGCAACGCCGCGUGAGUGAUGAAGGUCUUCGGAUCGUAAAACUCUGUUAUUAGGGAAGAACAAAUGUGUAAGUAACGAUGCACGUCUUGACGGUACCUAAGCAGAAAGCCACGGCUAACUACGU
rnacentral:rRNA from 1 species